rnacentral:rRNA from 1 species
GUCGAACGAUGAAGCCCAGCUUGCUGGGUGGAUUAGUGGCGAACGGGUGAGUAACACGUGAGUAACCUGCCCCCGACUCUGGGAUAAGCCCGGGAAACUGGGUCUAAUACCGGAUAUUACCUUUGACCGCAUGGUUGUUGGUGGAAAGAUUUAUCGGUGGGGGAUGGACUCGCGGCCUAUCAGCUUGUUGGUGAGGUAAUGGCUCACCAAGGCGACGACGGGUAGCCGGCCUGAGAGGGUGACCGGCCACACUGGGACUGAGACACGGCCCAGACUCCUACGGGAGGCAGCAGUGGGGAAUAUUGCACAAUGGGCGAAAGCCUGAUGCAGCGACGCCGCGUGAGGGAUGACGGCCUUCGGGUUGUAAACCUCUUUCAGUAGGGAAGAAGCGAAAGUGACGGUACCUGCAGAAGAAGCGCCGGCUAACUACGUGCCAGCAGCCGCGGUAAUACGUAGGGCGCAAGCGUUAUCCGGAUUUAUUGGGCGUAAAGAGCUCGUANGCGGUUUGUCGCGUCUGCCGUGAAAGUCCGAGGCUCAACCUCGGAUCUGCGGUGGGUACGGGCAGACUAGAGUGAUGUAGGGGAGACUGGAAUUCCUGGUGUAGCGGUGAAAUGCGCAGAUAUCAGGAGGAACACCGAUGGCGA